UACGGGGGGAGCAAGCGUUGUUCGGAUUUACUGGGCGUAAAGGGCGCGUAGGCGGCGCAACAAGUCACUUGUGAAAUCUCCGGGCUUAACCCGGAGCGGCCAAGUGAUACUGUCGUGCUAGAGUGCGGAAGGGGCUACUGGAAUUCUCGGUGUAGCGGUGAAAUGCGUAGAUAUCGAGAGGAACACCUGCGGCGAAGGCGGGUAGCUGGGCCGACACUGACGCUGAGGCGCGAAAGCCAGGGGAGACGGAACGG
rnacentral:rRNA from 1 species